UACGUAGGGGGCAAGCGUUGUCCGGAAUCAUUGGGCGUAAAGCGCGCGUAGGCGGCCCGGUAAGUCCGCUGUAAAAGUCCAGGGCUCAACCCUGGAAUGCCAGUGGAAACUGUCGGGCUAGAGUCCGGAAGAGGCGUGUGGAAUUCCUGGUGUAGCGGUGAAAUGCGCAGAUAUCAGGAGGAACACCGAUGGCGAAGGCAGCUCGCUGGGACGGUACUGACGCUGAGACGCGAAAGCGUGGGGAGCAAACAGG
rnacentral:rRNA from 1 species